rnacentral:rRNA from 1 species
GGACGAACGCUGGCGGCGUGCUUAACACAUGCAAGUCAAGGAGAACGGAAAUCUUCGGAAUUCCUAGUAAACUGGCGAACGGGUGAGUAACACGUAGGUAACCUGCCCUUGGAAUGGGGAUAACUCUGCUAAAGUGGAGCUAAUACCGGAUAUUGUUUCGUUUUCGCAUGGAAAUGAAAUGAAAGCUGUCGUGAUUUAUCAUGUUAGCGUCCGAGGAGGGACCUGCGCCCCAUUAGUUAGUUGGUGAGGUAACGGCUCACCAAGGCAACGAUGGGUAGCCGGCCUGAGAGGGCGUACGGCCACACUGGGACUGAGAUACGGCCCAGACUCCUACGGGAGGCAGCAGUGAGGAAUAUUGCGCAAUGGCCGAAAGGCUGACGCAGCAACGCCGCGUGGGUGAUGAAGUUCUAAGGAGCGUGAAGCCCUGUUAGAGGGGAAGAAUGACUUCAAUGUGAAUAAUGUUGAGGUUUGACGGUACCCUCAGAGAAAGCCCCGGCUAACUCCGUGCCAGCAGCCGCGGUAAUACGGGGGGGGCGAGCGUUGUCCGGAAUUAUUGGGCGUAAAGGGCGCGUAGGUGGAAUAACAAGUCAGAGGUGAAAACCAUAGGCUUAACUUGUGGCUUGCCUUUGAAACUGUUAUUCUUGAGUACGGAAGAGGGAAGCGGAAUUCCUGGUGUAGCGGUGAAAUGCGUAGAUAUCAGGAAGAACACCGGUAGCGAAGGCGGCUUCCUGGUCCGUAACUGACGCUGAGGCGCGAAAGCGUGGGGAGCAAACAGGAUUAGAUACCCUGGUAGUCCACGCCGUAAACGAUGGGCACUAGGUGUUGGUUUACUUUAGUAGAUCAGUGCCGAAGCUAACGCAUUAAGUGCCCCGCCUGGGGAGUACGAUCGCAAGGUUGAAACUCAAAGGAAUUGACGGGGGCCCGCACAAGCGGUGGAGCAUGUGGUUUAAUUCGAUGCAACGCGAAGAACCUUACCUGGGCUUGAGCUGAAGUUAAUCGCUACCGAAAAGUGGCUUUCCCUUCGGGGAUAAUUUCAGAGGUGCUGCAUGGCUGUCGUCAGCUCGUGCCGUGAGGUGUUGGGUUAAGUCCCGCAACGAGCGCAACCCUUGCCCUUAGUUGCCAUCAGGUUAUGCUGGGAACUCUAAGGGGACUGCCCCGGAUAACGGGGAGGGAGGUGGGGAUGACGUCAAGUCCUCAUGGCCCUUACGUCCAGGGCUACACACGUGCUACAAUGGUCGGUACAGCGGGGAGCGAUGCCGCAAGGUGGAGCAAAUCCCACAAAACCGGCCUCAGUUCGGAUUGUAGUCUGCAACUCGACUACAUGAAGUCGGAAUCGCUAGUAAUCGCGGAUCAGCAUGCCGCGGUGAAUACGUUCCCGGGCCUUGUACACACCGCCCGUCACGCCAUGGAAGUCAGUAGCACCCGAAGCCGGUGGCCUAACCCUCGGGAAGGAGCCGUCGAAGGUGAGACCGAUGACUGGGGCGAAGUCGG